rnacentral:rRNA from 1 species
UACGAAGGGGCUAGCGUUGCUCGGAUUGACUGGGCGUAAAGGGCGCGUAGGCGGUUCGUACAGUCAGACGUGAAAUUCCUGGGCUCAACCUGGGGGCUGCGUUUGAUACGUGCGGACUUGAGUGCGGAAGAGGGUCGUGGAAUUCCCAGUGUAGAGGUGAAAUUCGUAGAUAUUGGGAAGAACACCGGUGGCGAAGGCGGCGACCUGGUCCGAUACUGACGCUGAGGCGCGAAAGCGUGGGGAGCAAACGG